UUUAAGUGCAACCAUGAGUUUUCCGUGCCUAAUUUUGAUCGUCCGUCUUAUUUGAAAAAAAUUAUAAUUAGUAUUUUUAUUGUUAUGAAAUGAUAAAACAUGAAUAGUAUUUUACUCGUGACUUAUGUUUUUAAUUUUUUUUUUAAAAUUGUUUUAAAAAAAACGGACGAUCAAAGUUGGACGCGGAAAACCAUGGCUGCACUUAAA
rfam:Oryza sativa Japonica Group DNA, chromosome 4, cultivar: Nipponbare, complete sequence.